rnacentral:rRNA from 1 species
UGCGAACUGUGCGAACGUUAUUCGGAAUCACUGGGCUUAAAGGGUGCGUAGGCGGCUGCCUAAGUCAGGUGUGAAAUCUCCCGGCUCAACCGGGAAACUGCGCUUGAUACUGGGCGGCUCGAGUGAGGUAGGGGUGUGUGGAACUUCCGGUGGAGCGGUGAAAUGUGUAGAUAUCGGAAGGAACGCCAGCAGCGAAAGCGGCACACUGGGCCUUUUCUGACCCUGAGGCACGAAAGCCAGGGGAGCGAACGGG